GAAGGGUGCAAGCGUUACUCGGAAUUACUGGGCGUAAAGCGUGCGUAGGUGGUUCGUUAAGUCUGAUGUGAAAGCCCUGGGCUCAACCUGGGAAUGGCAUUGGAUACUGGCGACCUAGAGUGCGGUAGAGGGUGGCGGAAUUCCCGGUGUAGCAGUGAAAUGCGUAGAUAUCGGGAGGAACAUCCGUGGCGAAGGCGGCCACCUGGACCAGCACUGACACUGAGGCACGAAAGCGUGGGGAGCAAACAGGAUUAGAUACCCUGGUAGUCCACGCCCUAAACGAUGCGAACUGGAUGUUGGGUGCAACUUGGCACUCAGUAUCGAAGCUAACGCGUUAAGUUCGCCGCCUGGGAAGUACGGUCGCAAGACUG
rnacentral:rRNA from 1 species